GGCCCAGUGGUGUACUGCCAACACAUCCUCUCCCAAUUUGCACUUUUCUGUUUGGAAUAUAUGAGGAAGCACCCCGUUCGACUCGGGGCUGGGCCA